AUUUUGUACAAUGUGGGAAACCCUGAUCCAGCCAUCCCGCGUGUAUGAUGAAGUCCUUCGGUUUGUAUAGUACUUUUGUCAGAGUAGAAAAGGUAUCUCCUAAUACGAGAUACUGCUGACGGUAUCUGCAGAAUAAGCACCGGCUAACUACGUGCCAGCAGCCGCGGUAAUACGUAGGGUGCAAGCGUUAAUCGGAAUUACUGGGCGUAAAUCGUGUGUAGGCGGUUCGGAAAGAAAGAUGUGAAAUCCCAGGGCUCAACCUUGGAACUGCAUUUUUAACUGCCGAGCUAGAGUAUGUCAGAGGGGGGUAGAAUUCCACGUGUAGCAGUGAAAUGCGUAGAUAUGUGGAAGAAUACCGAUGGCGAAGGCAGCCCCCCUGGGAUAAUACUGACGCUCAGACACGAAAGCGUGGGGAGCAAACAG
rnacentral:rRNA from 1 species